ACAAAUUAUAGGAAAAAUGGGUAAAAAACCAUCACCAAAUAUUGUGUAAAUAUUUUA
rnacentral:sRNA from 1 species